rnacentral:rRNA from 1 species
UACGUAGGUGGCAAGCGUUAUCCGGAUUUAUUGGGCGUAAAGGGCUCGUAGGCGGUUCGUCGCGUCCGGUGUGAAAGUCCAUCGCUUAACGGUGGAUCCGCGCCGGGUACGGGCGGGCUUGAGUGCGGUAGGGGAGACUGGAAUUCCCGGUGUAACGGUGGAAUGUGUAGAUAUCGGGAAGAACACCAAUGGCGAAGGCAGGUCUCUGGGCCGUUACUGACGCUGAGGAGCGAAAGCGUGGGGAGCGAACAGG